rnacentral:lncRNA from 1 species
UUUCCCUCCCCAUAUCCCAAAUUUUUUAGAUUUCCCACCCAUUGUGAAAUUCACGCCCAAUAAGGUGUAUGCUGAGUAGGGGCGGUGGAACUUGUUCCAGAACGUGGAAGGCAUCUUCAUAAAAAAGUCGAAGGAUUCGUUGUAAUUUUCACAUGUAGUUCGCUUUGAGAGUCGCAAUUAAAUGAUUGCGUCAAUCUUUACUCUUCUCGUGGGUGGAACAUUAUUGAUGUUUCCAACUUUCUCAAUCUGUAUUCCAUGAGGAUUGAGGACGCAUGAUAACUCAAGAUUUUAUGCUUCUUAUUUCUUUAAUUACUUUUAAUUUGUUUGUUUAAUGUUAAGACUUUAUGUUAGAUAAUGUUAUAAGUUAUUUAUGGUUAGUAUUUUUGUUAUGAGCAUGCUUAUUUGAAAUAUAAUGAAGUUUUAUUUCUUUC